UACGGAGGGUGCGAGCGUUGUUCGGAAUUACUGGGCGUAAAGCGCGUGCAGGCGGUCGAUUAAGUCCGGUGUGAAAGCCCGGGGCUCACCCCCGGAAGUGCGCUGGAAACUAAUCAACUAGAGUACGGGAGAGGGAAGUGGAAUUCCUGGUGUAGCGGUGAAAUGCGUAGAUAUCAGGAGGAACACCGGCGGCGAAGGCGGCUUCCUGGACCGCAACUGACGCUGAGACGCGAAAGCGUGGGGAGCAAACAGG
rnacentral:rRNA from 1 species